CUUGUGGCUGGGGGUGAAAGGCCAAUCAAACCGGGAGAUAGCUGGUUCUCCCCGAAAGCUAUUUAGGUAGCGCCUUGUGAAUUCAUCUCCGGGGGUAGAGCACUGUUUCGGCAAGGGGGUCAUCCCGACUUACCAACCCGAUGCAAACUGCGAAUACCGGAGAAUGUUAUCACGGGAGACACACGGCGGGUGCUAACGUCCGUCGUGAAGAGGGAAACAACCCAGACCGCCAGCUAAGGUCCCAAAGUCAUGGUUAAGUGGGAAACGAUGUGGGAAGGCCCAGACAGCCAGGAUGUUGGCUUAGAAGCAGCCAUCAUUUAAAGAAAGCGUAAUAGCUCACUGGUCGAGUCGGCCUGCGCGGAAGAUGUAACGGGGCUAAACCAUGCACCGAAGCUGCGGCAGCGACGCUGAUGCGUUGUUGGGUAGGGGAGCGUUCUGUAAGCCUGUGAAGGUGUGCUGUGAGGCAUGCUGGAGGUAUCAGAAGUGCGAAUGCUGACAUAAGUAACGAUAAAGCGGGUGAAAAGCCCGCUCGCCGGAAGACCAAGGGUUCCUGUCCAACGUUAAUCGGGGCAGGGUGAGUCGACCCCUAAGGCGAGGCCGAAAGGCGUAGUCGAUGGGAAACAGGUUAAUAUUCCUGUACUUGGUGUUACUGCGAAGGGGGGACGGAGAAGGCUAUGUUGGCCGGGCGACGGUUGUCCCGGUUUAAGCGUGUAGGCUGGUUUUCCAGGCAAAUCCGGAAAACUAAGGCUGAGGCGUGAUGACGAGGCACUACGGUGCUGAAGCAACAAAUGCCCUGCUUCCAGGAAAAGCCUCUAAGCAUCAGGUAACAUCAAAUCGUACCCCAAACCGACACAGGUGGUCAGGUAGAGAAUACCAAGGCGCUUGAGAGAACUCGGGUGAAGGAACUAGGCAAAAUGGUGCCGUAACUUCGGGAGAAGGCACGCUGAUAUGUAGGUGAAGUCCCUCGCGGAUGGAGCUGAAAUCAGUCGAAGAUACCAGCUGGCUGCAACUGUUUAUUAAAAACACAGCACUGUGCAAACACGAAAGUGGACGUAUACGGUGUGACGCCUGCCCGGUGCCGGAAGGUUAAUUGAUGGGGUCAGCGCAAGCGAAGCUCUUGAUCGAAGCCCCGGUAAACGGCGGCCGUAACUAUAACGGUCCUAAGGUAGCGAAAUUCCUUGUCGGGUAAGUUCCGACCUGCACGAAUGGCGUAAUGAUGGCCAGGCUGUCUCCACCCGAGACUCAGUGAAAUUGAACUCGCUGUGAAGAUGCAGUGUACCCGCGGCAAGACGGAAAGACCCCGUGAACCUUUACUAUAGCUUGACACUGAACAUUGAGCCUUGAUGUGUAGGAUAGGUGGGAGGCUUUGAAGUGUGGACGCCAGUCUGCAUGGAGCCGACCUUGAAAUACCACCCUUUAAUGUUUGAUGUUCUAACGUUGACCCGUAAUCCGGGUUGCGGACAGUGUCUGGUGGGUAGUUUGACUGGGGCGGUCUCCUCCUAAAGAGUAACGGAGGAGCACGAAGGUUGGCUAAUCCUGGUCGGACAUCAGGAGGUUAGUGCAAUGGCAUAAGCCAGCUUGACUGCGAGCGUGACGGCGCGAGCAGGUGCGAAAGCAGGUCAUAGUGAUCCGGUGGUUCUGAAUGGAAGGGCCAUCGCUCAACGGAUAAAAGGUACUCCGGGGAUAACAGGCUGAUACCGCCCAAGAGUUCAUAUCGACGGCGGUGUUUGGCACCUCGAUGUCGGCUCAUCACAUCCUGGGGCUGAAGUAGGUCCCAAGGGUAUGGCUGUUCGCCAUUUAAAGUGGUACGCGAGCUGGGUUUAGAACGUCGUGAGACAGUUCGGUCCCUAUCUGCCGUGGGCGCUGGAGAACUGAGGGGGGCUGCUCCUAGUACGAGAGGACCGGAGUGGACGCAUCACUGGUGUUCGGGUUGUCAUGCCAAUGGCACUGCCCGGUAGCUAAAUGCGGAAGAGAUAAGUGCUGAAAGCAUCUAAGCACGAAACUUGCCCCGAGAUGAGUUCUCCCUGACUCCUUGAGAGUCCUGAAGGAACGUUGAAG
rnacentral:rRNA from 1 species